AGAGUUUGAUCCUGGCUCAGAAUCAACGCUGGCGGCGCGCUUAACACAUGCAAGUCGAACGAGAAAGUCCGCAAGGAUGAGUAAAGUGGCGUACGGGUGAGUAACACGUGGAUGAUCCACCUCUUAGUGGGGAAUAACUCUGGGAAACCGGAGCUAAUACCGCAUAAGCCUGUGAGGGGAAAGCGUUGUUGUAAAAGACGACGCGCUGAGAGAGGAGUCCGCGGCCGAUUAGCUAGUUGGUAGGGUAAUGGCCUACCAAGGCGAUGAUCGGUAGCCGGCCUGAGAGGGCACACGGCCACACUGGCACUGAAACACGGGCCAGACUCCUACGGGAGGCAGCAGUGGGGAAUCUUGCACAAUGGGGGCAACCCUGAUGCAACGACGCCGCGUGAACGAUGAAGCCCUUCGGGGUGUAAAGUUCUUUCGGCAGGAACGAUAAUGACGGUACCUGAAGAAGAAGCUGCGGCUAACUACGUGCCAGCAGCCGCGGUAAUACGUAGGCAGCAAGCGUUGUUCGGAGUUACUGGGCGUAAAGAGUGUGUAGGCGGUGCUCUAAGUUUGGUGUGAAAUCUCCCGGCUCAACUGGGAGGGUGCGCCGAAAACUGGAGUGCUUGAGUGCGGGAGAGGAAAGCGGAAUUCCUGGUGUAGCGGUGAAAUGCGUAGAUAUCAGGAGGAACACCUGCGGUGUAGACGGCUUUCUGGGCCAUUACUGACGCUGAGACACGAAAGCGUGGGUAGCAAACAGGAUUAGAUACCCUGGUAGUCC
rnacentral:rRNA from 1 species